GACGAACGCUGGCGGCGUGCUUAACACAUGCAAGUCGAACGGAAAGGCCCUGCCUUUGUGGGGUGCUCGAGUGGCGAACGGGUGAGUAACACGUGAGUAACCUGUCCCUGACUUUGGGAUAACUUCAGGAAACUGGGGCUCAUACCGGCUAGGAGCUCCUGCUGCAUGGUGGGGGCUGGAAAGAUUCGGCGGUUGGUGAUGGACUCGCGGCUUAUCAGCUUGAUGGUGGGGUAGUGGCUUACCAAGGCUUUGACGGGUAGCAGGCCUGAGAGGGUGACCGGCCACAUUGGGACUGAGAUACGGCCCAGACUCCUACGGGAGGCAGCAGUGGAGAAUAUUGCACAAUGGGCGGAAGCCUGAUGCAGCAAAGCCGCGUGCGGGAUGACAGCCUUCGGGUAGUAAUCCGCUGUCGCCUGUGACGAAGCGUGAGUGACGGUAAUGGGUAAAGAAGCACCGGCUAACUACGUG
rnacentral:rRNA from 1 species